rnacentral:rRNA from 1 species
UACGUAGGGGGCAAGCGUUGUCCGGAUUCAUUGGGCGUAAAGAGCGUGUAUGCGGCCAGGUAGGUCGGUUGUGAAGACUGGAGGCUCAACCUUCAGACGUCGACCGAAACCAUCUGGCUAGAGUCCGGGAGAGGAGAGUGGAAUUCCUGGUGUAGCGGUGAAAUGCGCAGAUAUCAGGAAGAACACCCGUGGCGAAAGCGGCUCUCUGGAACGGUACUGACGCUGAGACGCGAAAGCGUGGGGAGCGAACAGG